GGCGAACGCUGGCGGCGUGCUUAACACAUGCAAGUCGAACGGAAAGGCCCUGCUUUUGUGGGGUGCUCGAGUGGCGAACGGGUGAGUAACACGUGAGUAACCUGCCCUUGACUUUGGGAUAACUUCAGGAAACUGGGGCUAAUACCGGAUAGGAGCUCCUGCUGCAUGGUGGGGGUUGGAAAGUUUCGGCGGUUGGGGAUGGACUCGCGGCUUAUCAGCUUGUUGGUGGGGUAGUGGCUUACCAAGGCUUUGACGGGUAGCCGGCCUGAGAGGGUGACCGGACACAUUGGGACUGAGAUACGGCCCAGACUCCUACGGGAGGCAGCAGAGGGGAAUAUUGCACAAUGGGCGGAAGCCUGAUGCAGCAACGCCGCGUGCGGGAUGACGGCCUUCGGGUUGGAAACCGCUUUCGCCUGUGACGAAGCGUGAGUGACGGUAAUGGGUAAAGAAGCACCGGCUAACUACGUG
rnacentral:rRNA from 1 species